rnacentral:misc_RNA from 1 species
UCAAACUUGGUCAUUUAGAGGAAGUAAAAGUCGUAACAAGGUUUCCGUAGGUGAACCUGCGGAAGGAUCAUUAACAAUUAUCCAUCCCAAAAUAUGGACGGUUAAAAAAUCCAUAUCCACCCUUCGUGUGCACAUCAUUGACAUGUUUGCUUUGGCAGUUUUGCGGGAAGACCAACGCUGCCAGAGUUUUUCAUCUUUUUCACCUUGACAAACUCUUUUUUUGCUUCCUCUGGAAGCAAAAAGCCCUUGAAGAAAACAAUUCAGAAUUAUUUUUUUUUAAAAAAAAAAAUGAAAUCGAAUACAACUUUCAACAACGGAUCUCUUGGCUCUCGCAUCGAUGAAGAACGCAGC